GACGAGGGAUCCUAGCGUUGUUCGGAAUCACUGGGCGUAAAGCGUUUGUAGGCGGCUCUAUAAGUCGGGUGUGAAAUCCCACGGCUCAACCGUGGAAGUGCAUUCGAAACUGCAGAGCUUGAAUAUGGAAGAGGAGAGUAGAAUUGCUGGUGUAGUGGUGAAAUACGUAGAUAUCAGCAGGAAUACCGGUGGCGAAGGCGGCUCACUGGCCCGAUACUGACGCUGAGGCACGAAAGCGUGGGGAGCAAACAGG
rnacentral:rRNA from 1 species